UUUCAUGGCAUUGAGAAGGUCGGUGAUAUAGUACAUGUUCUCCAAACAACAAGACAUAAUGGAUUUCCUGUAAUUGAUGAGCCCCCACUUUCUGAGUCUCCAGUUCUUUAUGGACUAAUCCUUCGUGCUCAUCUUAUCGAAUUGCUAAAGAAGAAAGUUUUUUCGUCCACUCCGGUGCCAAUAGGCCCUGAUGCCUUUGAGCAAUUCUUAGCCAGCGACUUUGCAAAGAGGGGCUCAGGCAAUGGUGGCAAGAUAGAAGAUAUAGAAAUUAGUGAAGAAGAGAUGGAGAUGUUCUUAGAUUUGCAUCCUUUCACUAAUACUUCGCCUUAUACCGUUGUGGAGACUAUGUCACUAGCUAAAGCUCGCGUACUAUUCCGAGAAGUUGGUUUGAGGCACCUGCUCGUGAUACCCAAGGUUACUAGUAGAUCUCCUGUUGUGGGCAUAUUGACAAGACAUGACUUCAUGCCAGAACAUAUACUGGGUUUGCACCCUUUCCUAGUUAGGAGCAGGUGGAAAAGAUUAAGAAUCCGGCUGCCCCAAUUAUUUAAAAUUUUCUAGGAGUCUUGCAUAUGCUGCUGAUUAGGUGCAGGUGGAAAAGAAUUUGGCUGCCUUAUUGACUGAGAUACACUACAAGAUUUUCAGUAAAUAAGGCAGCCAAAUUCUUUUCCACCUGCACCUAAUCAGCAGCAUAUGCAAGACUCCUAGAAAAUUUUAAAUAAUUGGGGCAGCCGGAUUCUUAAUCUUUUCCACCUGCUCCUAACUAGGAAAGGGUGCAAACCCAGUAUAUGUUCUGGCAUGAAGUCAUGUCUUGUCAAUAUGCCCACAACAGGAGAUCUACUAGUAACCUUGGGUAUCACGAGCAGGUGCCUCAAACCAACUUCUCGGAAUAGUACGCGAGCUUUAGCUAGUGACAUAGUCUCCACAACGGUAUAAGGCGAAGUAUUAGUGAAAGGAUGCAAAUCUAAGAACAUCUCCAUCUCUUCUUCACUAAUUUCUAUAUCUUCUAUCUUGCCACCAUUGCCUGAGCCCCUCUUUGCAAAGUCGCUGGCUAAGAAUUGCUCAAAGGCAUCAGGGCCUAUUGGCACCGGAGUGGACGAAAAAACUUUCUUCUUUAGCAAUUCGAUAAGAUGAGCACGAAGGAUUAGUCCAUAAAGAACUGGAGACUCAGAAAGUGGGGGCUCAUCAAUUACAGGAAAUCCAUUAUGUCUUGUUGUUUGGAGAACAUGUACUAUAUCACCGACCUUCUCAAUGCCAUGAAACAGCUGCAGUGGACCUGUGACUACAUCGGUAACUGUCAGCUGCCUCAUGUAAGGCUCUGCAUGAGUUUCUAAAUAAGGAAAACCCUUCGCCUUCAUAAUAAGGUCAUAAAUGUUACCAUUAAAAGCAUCAGCCACGGUCUUAGAAACAAG
rnacentral:misc_RNA from 1 species